rnacentral:tRNA from 1 species
GUUUAUGUAGUUUAAAAUAAAACAGUGUGUUUUCAUCACAAAAAUAAAUUUUUAAUUUUAUUUCAUAAAUU